rnacentral:rRNA from 1 species
AAAUGAAUAGACGGGGGCCCGCACAAGCGGCGGAGCGUGCGGUUUAAUUCGACGCAACGCGCAGAACCUUACCAGGGCUUGACAUGCGACUGCAGGUCUCGGAAACGAGACGUCCUUCGAGGGAGUCGCACAGGUGCUGCAUGGCUGUCGUCAGCUCGUGUCGUGAGAUGUUGGGUUAAGUCCCGCAACGAGCGCAACCCUCGCCGCCAGUUAUGUGGAUGUCUGGCGGGACUGCCGGUAGCAAGCCGGAGGAAGGCGGGGAUGAUGUCAAGUCAGCAUGGCCCUUACGUCCUGGGCUACACGCACGCUACAAUGGGCCGGACAAUGGGUAGCCAAACCGCAAGGUGGAGCGAAUCCUCGCAAACCGGUCCUCAGUUCAGAUUGUGGGCUGCAACUCGCCCGCAUGAAGGUGGAGUCGCUAGUAACCGCAGGUCAGCAGUACUGCGGUGAAUACGUUCCCGGGCCUUGUACACACCGCCCGU